rnacentral:sRNA from 1 species
UGAUUUGUGAGGGUGAUCUGGCUGAGACAUCUGUCACCCCAUUGAUCUCCAGAGUUGAUUCAGCUCUUGAUCUGGCUGGCAAGGUGGGUAUACCCUUCCUCCCUCAAUAUUCCACCUACCUCCCAAAGCUGCACACUUGUUUGAAGAGAAUUACCUUCUCUGAUAGAAGAGGAUGGGAUUCUCAGUGAAAAAUAUUCUAGUAGCUGUGUUCCUUUUUUAAAACCUCCAAACAAGUUCUCAAGGAUGUAUAAUUUCUUACCUUUCAAUAGCACUAU